CCUUUUUGUUGUUAUUGUUUCUGCCAUUUGGUUUCUGCCCUUUUACCCACUACUAGUUGUUCUGGGUUUCAGGUUGGCUUACCUAAUGGUGGGAUAUAGUAGGUGUCAUCACGGCUCAAGGAAUCAAGUCGUGACAAAACACCUCAAAAAAUUCUCAAACUGCACCAAUGACCAUAGAAUAUCGAAACAAAAAAAUGAUCAAAAUUUUACACUUUUUC
rnacentral:lncRNA from 1 species